rnacentral:rRNA from 1 species
GGCGCGAGCAGGUGCGAAAGCAGGUCAUAGUGAUCCGGUGGUUCUGAAUGGAAGGGCCAUCGCUCAACGGAUAAAAGGUACUCCGGGGAUAACAGGCUGAUACCGCCCAAGAGUUCAUAUCGACGGCGGUGUUUGGCACCUCGAUGUCGGCUCAUCACAUCCUGGGGCUGAAGUAGGUCCCAAGGGUAUGGCUGUUCGCCAUUUAAAGUGGUACGCGAGCUGGGUUUAGAACGUCGUGAGACAGUUCGGUCCCUAUCUGCCGUGGGCGCUGGAGAACUGAGGGGGGCUGCUCCUAGUACGAGAGGACCGGAGUGGACGCAUCACUGGUGUUCGGGUUGUCAUGCCAAUGGCACUGCCCGGUAGCUAAAUGCGGAAGAGAUAAGUGCUGAAAGCAUCUAAGCACGAAACUUGCCCCGAGAUGAGUUCUCCCUGACUCCUUGAGAGUCCUGAAGGAACGUUGAAGACGACGACGUUGAUAGGCCGGGUGUGUAAGCGCAGCGAUGCGUUGAGCUAACCGGUACUAAUGAACCGUGAGGCUUAACCUUACAACGCCGAAGCUGUUUUG